rnacentral:rRNA from 1 species
UACGGAGGGGGCUAGCGUUAUUCGGAAUUAUUGGGCGUAAAGGGCGCGUAGGCGGCCCGGUAAGUCAAAGGUGAAAUCCCUCGGCUCAACUGAGGAACUGCCUUUGAAACUGUCGGGCUUGAGGCCGGGAGGGGGUAGCGGAAUUCCCAGUGUAGCGGUGAAAAUGCGUAGAUAUUGGGAGGAACACCAGUGGCGAAGGCGGCUCACUGGACCGGAACUGACGCUGAGGCGCGAAACGUGGGGACA